CCGUAAGGCUAGGGGUGCUCCGAUGCGAAUUGGGGCUGAGAAAAACCCUUUGAACCUGACUCCGGCUAAUACCGGCGUAGGGAAGCCAACUUCCCUGCGC
rnacentral:ncRNA from 3 species